UCAGUAAAGCGGCAGACGGGUGAGUAACACGUGGGUAACCUGCCCGAAGGUGGGGGAUAAUCCUCCGAAAGGAGGCCUAAUACCGCAUGAUAUCCGCGAAUCCUCGGGUUUGCGGAUCAAAGCUAGCCUCUUCUUGAAAGCUAGCGCCAUCGGAGGGGCCCGCGGCCCAUUAGCUUGAUGGUGAGGUAACGGCUCACCAUGGCAACGAUGGGUAGCCGGCCUGAGAGGGUGAUCGGCCACACUGGAACUGAGACACGGUCCAGACUCCUACGGGAGGCAGCAGUGAGGAAUUUUGCGCAAUGGGGGAAACCCUGACGCAGCGACGCCGCGUGGAGGACGAAGGCCUUCGGGUCGUAAACUCCUGUCAAGUGGGACGAAUGCCGUAGCGAUGAAUAAGCGCUACGGUUGACGGUACCACUGAAGGAAGCCCCGGCUAACUCCGUGCCAGCAGCCGCGGUAAUACGGAGGGGGCAAGCGUUGUUCGGAAUUAUUGGGCGUAAA
rnacentral:rRNA from 1 species